UGCCUAUACAAGGAGCCGCAUAUUAACCUCUGUAGAGCCACACGCGGCUCUGGAGCCACAGGUUGGCCACCCCGACCUAGAUCAAAUGUAGGAGCUAUUCCAAUUCCUUUUUGGUACCCAGGCUCCCAGGCAGUCCUGGAAGGUGACUGUGGACCGCGGUACAGAAGCAUUGCAGACAAACCCACCCAUCAGUUAUUUAUGUGCUGCAGAAUGGUCUCUGCUACCCCCUGAAGUGCAACUUGUGCCUCUAGAUUCUAUUUCCUCAGGUCACCCGCCGGCUUCACCUGUGGCUGCUGCUGCCGGGACAGUCUGUGUCCUCCUGGUCGUUCUAUUCCUAGUCUCCACUUACUUCUUUGUGAGAAAGAAGAGAGGUAGGAGCCCCGGCACAGCCAGGUCUCAGACUCCCUUUCCAGACGCCGCGAGGGCUCAGAGCCAGCCCGGUGCUAACAAAGACUCUGACGUGCUCUACGCUGACCUGCAGCACUCGGCCGAGCCCCAGCAGCCCAAGAAGAGCGUCCCAGCAGAGCAUUCUGAAUACGCUGCCGUGAAGGUAACCCAGGCCACCGCCAGGUAGAGGGAGAAGGCACGGCAGCGAGGCUCUGGAGAGACUGUCGGAGGAGGAAGCAGCAGCUCUCUGCAGAACACAGCGCACAGUCAUCCAGGUGACACACGGUCUGCCCCGUGGGGGGCCCAGAACUGACACAGAGUCUCUUGUUCCCUGGCACCUUAUUGCGCUAUCGCGGGUGACUCAGAACCGGGGAACUCAUGACCUGGAGAGCCAGCAGCCGCCUGGCAUGUUCCUGUUUUCAUAAACAAUUAAAGAUUCCAAUCAUAUUCUCUCUAA